UCCUCUUCCCCUUGCCCAGGGGCUGCAUCACUGACUUGUGCCUAAAUGAACUCUUGCCCUGCAGCAGUUCUCUCUUGCUCUCAGAGAUGUUGCUCUGAGCAAAGGGCAAAAGGCUCCAUCCAAGCCGGGCCCGUGCUCCCCUCCUGCAUUCCUGCAGCAUCCCCUGUUUGCAGUUGCCAUCACUGCUGGACAUACACCCUGUUCCUGAACAAACUCCCUUGCUGUUCUCUCUCUGGGUCUCCCCUCACAACUCCCCUCCUCUGAUGCUCCAGGUGCCAAGGCACUCCUUUUUGAGUGGCACUCCUGCUCUGCUUCCCCCCCAUUCUUUAUAAAUCAAGAGCCAGGAGCCCCAAGUGCUGAGGGGGCUGCAGGGAGUAAGUGGCAAUGCCUGCCUUUGUCUCCCUGUGUUCCCUGCAGUUCUCCUGCCAGUUCUCCCCUGGGCUGGAGAGCCCUGCCUGGCCUGUGUUUAUGGGAGGAGAGUGAUGUUAUUUGUCCAAAAGGUGUGUUUGUGGGCACUCAUUUUCUGACAGGCAGCGCCCUUUUCCUAUUGCCUUUCCCAAGUUUUCCCAGGUGCUGCCCAGCAUGGGCCUUGGUGCGCUGGGACAGUGAUUGCCAGGAGGAAAGGGAGCCUUGGCCUCAGCUGCCCAGCUCAGGUGGGUGGGACAGGAUUGGGGUGGCCUGGCAAGGCACGAACAUAUUUCUGAGUUCUGGGGUGCCUUGAAACCUUUCCCUGUCAGGUUUCUCUCCCUGGUUUCCUGGGGUCCAGCAUCCCAGGUGUCUCUUCCUUUGUCCAAAGUCCAAUGGCAGAGGACUGAAUAACUCACAAGGGGGGUUUGGAAUGAAAAGGGUUCUGUUCCAAUUAGGCAAGGAAUGCAGUAAGAAAGAUGAGCCUCCUUUGAGUGCCUGAAACAGAGAGGAAUAAAAAUGCUGGAAAAGGUCACACUUUCUUUGGUGCCCCCCUGGAUUUCUCAUUGCUGCAAUAGUGAGCAAUCAGAACAGAAGGGUGAAGGACAAGACCCUUUGAGUUCCCCAGUGCACUUAACUGUCUUGUUCUCUUUUUCAGGACAGGCCAAAGCCCUGAAUUCAACCCAGCUCUGCCCAAUGCCUUGGGGUGUGAGUGGCCAAAAGCAAGAGGCUCCAGCCCUGCUGGCAGUGCUGGGGGCUCCUGGUCCUGCCUGGGGGGUGGGAUGAUGGAGUUACCUCUCUGGAUGUGUGCUGAGCUCUGGCUGCAACCGUCUGCACUGGGCACUCCCUGGGCCUUCCUUCCUCAGCAGCCCUGUGGGACGAGACAGAAGAGAUGUGAGAUGAUGGAGUUGUCUCUCUGGAUGUGUGCUGAACUCUGGCUGCAGGGGACUGUCAGGCCUUGGUGGCAAUCUUCUCUUUCUGCCUUUGAAUUCACAGCCUCCUUGCAGCUCCCAGCUGGGAAAACCUGGGGUGACUCAGUGGGGACAGAGGUGACAUUUUUAUCUGAAAACUUGGGGUAAUUUCUAGGAGAAAGAUAGGGAAUGGGGGACUGGCUUGUGUAGAAUUCACCUAGAAAGUAAAACAGGGGGAUUGUUGGAGGAUCUGGCUCCUUAGGGAACCUGCUGGGAGUAGAGAAGCACAACCCCAAAUCUCCAGCUGUGUGAGUGGAGUCGUGGAACGUAAACCAGCACAAAGCGAUAGCCCAAAAUGAACCAUGGGAGAGCAGGACCAAAUGAGGGUCACUGUCACUGUGGAAAGGCAAAAGGAAUUGGCUGGGACCUGGAUUGUCCCCUUGGAGAUGCUGGUUGCUGGGAUUUAGAGAAUGCCCUGCCUUAGACUGCCGAGAUCUCUCAGUGCAGCGGCUUUCGCUGACAUGGCAGCACAAAGAUUGUUCUCUGCAUGGGGCCAGGGUUUGGAUGCCGGGAUCAGCUUUGCAGGUUUAGAUGAAUUCUACCUACAGCCCGCAGUUCCACACGGAAUUCCUGCUGGAAUAGCCUCCCAGUGCCUCACGGAGCCCGGAUCUUCCCCUGCAGAGCUGCCGCUUCAGCGCCAGGUUUGCCAGGAAGCAGCCAAGGGUCCAGAUGUGCUCAGCGGGAUCAGGACAAGGAUAAGUUGAUAUUGCACGGAAUUUGUUGUUUAUAACCCUCCUCCCCCAGCCCCACUGGUGUCCCUGGGGGGCAGUCAAGCAAGUUCCCUGGAAUUGAGCCGAUUCUCCCCCCGGGCCGGGCUCCAGGGGUGUGUUCCCCCAGAAGAAGGCGGUGGCCGGAUGCGCUCCCGGCAUGGGCUAAGGCAGCCUCUGCUCUCGGUGCCGGAAGCUGCUGUCACUUCUGAGCCUCAGGAGCGGCCCUUGCAAGUUCCUUUCCCAUGCAGAUGCAGCUGGAGGCCAACGCGGACACGUCGGCAGAGGAGGAGAGCUUUGGGCCACAGCUCAUAUCCAGGCUGGAGCAAUGUGGUAUAAAUGCCAACGAUGUGAAGAAGCUGGAAGAGGCUGGAUUUCACACCGUGGAGGCCGUGGCUUAUGCACCAAAGAAGGAGCUGCUGAACAUCAAAGGCAUCAGCGAAGCCAAAGCUGACAAAAUCCUGGUAAGGAUGUUAUGGAACAUUGACCCAAGAUAUUCCACAAGCUUCUUUCUGCUGACUUGAAGAGUUCUGGUGGAUUUGGAAGUCUCCAAAGGGCAGUAAAGGUGGUUAGAGGUGUGACAUGGCUUCUGACA